CAGCCGCCGCGGGAAAACGUAGGUGGCAAGCGUUGUCCGGAAUUAUUGGGCGUAAAGGGCUCGCAGGCGGUUUCCUAAGUCUGAUGUGAAAGCCCCCGGCUCAACCGGGGAGGGUCAUUGGAAACUGGGAAACUUGAGUGCAGAAGAGGAGAGUGGAAUUCCGCGUGUAGCGGUGAAAUGCGUAGAGAUGUGGAGGAACACCAGUGGCGAAGGCGACUCUCUGGUCUGUAACUGACGCUGAGGAGCGAAAGCGUGGGGAGCGAACAGGAUUAGAGACCCCUGUAGUCCCUGUCUCUUAUAC
rnacentral:rRNA from 1 species